GCCGCCGCCGCCGCCGCGUCCCCAGGACCGCGGGGACCGCACAGCCCCGAGGCCCGCGAGCUGCGCGCGGAAAAGCGAAACUUGUGGCUCCCAAAGGCGAGCGCGGCGCUCGGCCUCUGGAGGUGGCGGGGAGUCUGACGAGCAUCUCCGAGCGUCCUCGGGGUUUUGUCGGCCGAGCCAGACUCUUCGAAGUUUCGAGGUAUGACAUGGAAAUGACUUUCUACCUGGGCAAUUUCUCAUAUUCCAGUGUAUGUAAGUGUACAAAAUUGUCUCAAAUUGCAAAUCAUUCAUGUCAUAGUGGAUCACUAUGAGGUUUUUUUCACCUCAGGCACAAAUUUUUUUUAGUUAACUGUAUCAUCAAUUCUUGUCACAUUCAAUCUGGCACCUAUCAAUCUGCAAGAUUCUUUUUUUUUUUUUAAUCUGCAAGAUUCUUGUCUUACUUUCUCUCCUUCAUUGGUCUCUUCACAUUCCUUUUACUGCAUGGGAUCCUCUUUAUGUGUUUAAUAUAUGCAUUAGGUAGGUCUAUAUUCUUGAAAAAGAAUAUUUCUUGUGCAUGCCUGUGUCAUUCUAAUAUAGAGAUUGUAUUAUGCUAUUUCUUAUUUUCACAUAGAGUAACACAGAUAGAUCUUAACUAUUAGGUGAAAAUUUUGUAUCAUUACUUUGGUUUAAUUUUUAGACCUGGUAAUCUCUUUUUUCCCAACUUUAUUGAGGAAUAAUUCACAAGUAUAAUUAUACAUAUUUAAAGUGUACAAUGUGGUGAUGUGCUGUACAUAUACAUUGUAGACUAGUUACCAAGUUCAAGAUAAUUAAUGCAUAUAUGCAUCACCUCAUACAGUUAACUCUUUUUAUGUAUUUGGUGAGAACGCUUAAAGUCUCUUAGCAACUUUCAAGUAUACAGUCCUGUAUCAUUAACUAUAGUCCCCAUGCUGUACAUUUGAUCCUCUGAACUAAUUCCUCUUAUAACUGAAAGUUUUUAUUCCUUUUGACCUACAUCUCCCUAUUUCCCUCUCCCCCCAGCGCCUGGCAACCACUAUUUCAUUCUCUGUUUCUAUGGAAUCAGCUUUCUUUUUUAUUCUAUAUAUAAGUGAUAGCAUACAGUAUUUGUCUUUCUCUGUCUGGCUUAUUCCACUUACCAUAAUGUCUUCCAGGUUCCUCCAUGUUGUUACAAAGUACAUUAUGCAAAAAAAAUAAAAAUAAGAAAAAAUAAGAAAAAAACA
rnacentral:lncRNA from 1 species